rnacentral:rRNA from 1 species
AGUGAACGCUGGCGGUAGGCCUAACACAUGCAAGUCGAACGGCAGCACAGUAAGAGCUUGCUCUUACGGGUGGCGAGUGGCGGACGGGUGAGGAAUACAUCGGAAUCUACUUUUUCGUGGGGGAUAACGUGGGGAAACUUACGCUAAUACCGCAUACGACCUACGGGUGAAAGCAGGGGAUCUUCGGACCUUGCGCGAUUGAAUGAGCCGAUGUCGGAUUAGCUAGUUGGCGGGGUAAAGGCCCACCAAGGCGACGAUCCGUAGCUGGUCUGAGAGGAUGAUCAGCCACACUGGAACUGAGACACGGUCCAGACUCCUACGGGAGGCAGCAGUGGGGAAUAUUGGACAAUGGGCGCAAGCCUGAUCCAGCCAUACCGCGUGGGUGAAGAAGGCCUUCGGGUUGUAAAGCCCUGUUGUUGGGAAAGAAAAGCAGCAGGUUAAUACCCCGCUGUUCUGACGGUACCCAAAGAAUAAGCACCGGCUAACUUCGUG